rnacentral:misc_RNA from 1 species
CGUCGAAGGUGGGGCUGAUGACUGGGGUGAAGUCGUAACAAGGUAUCCGUACCGGAAGGUGCGGAUGGAUCACCUCCUAACAGGGAGACAAAACAAUGAUUUUGAUGCCUGAGUGCUUUUAUUCUUAGGCCGAAAUCCUGUCACCUUAGGUCGAUCGGUACCUCAGCUUUGAAGUCAAGGAUCAGCAGCAAUGUUGAUUGCUUGAUGGAGAUUUUCAGUUCCUAAACUUUGUCUAGGUCACACCCCAAAAGGGAUGAGACUCCUGGGCCAUUAGCUCAGGUGGUUAGAGCGCACCCCUGAUAAGGGUGAGGUCCCUGGUUCAAGUCCAGGAUGGCCCAUUCGGUGUUGGGGGUUUAGCUCAGUUGGUAGAGCGCCUGCUUUGCAAGCAGGAUGUCAGGAGUUCGAGUCUCCUAACCUCCACUGACCGAACUUGAUUCCCAUCUCCAAUUCUUUUGGAGUUGAGCUCGAUUGGAGUGUGAUUUAGAUGUGUCCGCUGGAUGACCCCAGCUUCCUGUCAUUCCAAGUUUUAGGUUAAAGCCUUGAAUUUGGUUGAUAAGAUGCUGGGCUCGGAUCAAAUAAUCAAGCAAUUGAUGAUUUGAUUUGAAGUUCUAGCAGAACCUUGACAACUGCAUAGGUGAGUCUGGAAAAAACAAAGCAUCUUACAGAUGCAUUGUUUUGAAUCUGAUCUUCUGAAAGGUAGAUUGGAUCUAGAACAAUGAAAAUUCUUUUGAGCAAGAGCCGAGACUCUUGAACGUUCUUUGAUUCGUGUCGAGCGAAUCAGAGUUUGAUCUUGUUUUUAGAAAUAAAAACUUGAGAAUCUGCUUUCAACGGCUGUAAGCGUUCAGGAGGUUAAUUGGUCAAGCUACAAAGGGCUCAC